rnacentral:rRNA from 1 species
UACGUAGGGUGCGAGCGUUGUCCGGAAUUAUUGGGCGUAAAGAGCUUGUAGGCGGUUUGUCGCGUCUGCUGUGAAAUCUCAAGGCUCAACCUUGAGCUUGCAGUGGGUACGGGCAGACUAGAGUGUGGUAGGGGAGACUGGAAUUCCUGGUGUAGCGGUGAAAUGCGCAGAUAUCAGGAGGAACACCGAUGGCGAAGGCGGCUCACUGGCCCGGUACUGACGCUGAGGUGCGAAAGCGUGGGGAGCAAACAGG